rnacentral:rRNA from 2 species
GCCUAAUACAUGCAAGUCGAGCGAACAGAUGAGAAGCUUGCUUCUCUGAUGUUAGCGGCGGACGGGUGAGUAACACGUGGGUAACCUACCUAUAAGACUGGGAUAACUCCGGGAAACCGGGGCUAAUACCGGAUAAUAUUUUGAACCGCAUGGUUCAAUAGUGAAAGACGGUUUCGGCUGUCACUUAUAGAUGGACCCGCGCCGUAUUAGCUAGUUGGUAAGGUAAUGGCUUACCAAGGCGACGAUACGUAGCCGACCUGAGAGGGUGAUCGGCCACACUGGAACUGAGACACGGUCCAGACUCCUACGGGAGGCAGCAGUAGGGAAUCUUCCGCAAUGGGCGAAAGCCUGACGGAGCAACGCCGCGUGAGUGAUGAAGGUCUUCGGAUCGUAAAACUCUGUUGUUAGGGAAGAACAAAUUUGUUAGUAACUGAACAAGUCUUGACGGUACCUAACCAGAAAGCCACGGCUAACUACGUGCCAGCAGCCGCGGUAAUACGUAGGUGGCAAGCGUUAUCCGGAAUUAUUGGGCGUAAAGCGCGCGUAGGCGGUUUCUUAAGUCUGAUGUGAAAGCCCACGGCUCAACCGUGGAGGGUCAUUGGAAACUGGGAAACUUGAGUGCAGAAGAGGAGAGUGGAAUUCCAUGUGUAGCGGUGAAAUGCGCAGAGAUAUGGAGGAACACCAGUGGCGAAGGCGGCUCUCUGGUCUGUAACUGACGCUGAUGUGCGAAAGCGUGGGGAUCAAACAGGAUUAGAUACCCUGGUAGUCCACGCCGUAAACGAUGAGUGCUAAGUGUUAGGGGGUUUCCGCCCCUUAGUGCUGCAGCUAACGCAUUAAGCACUCCGCCUGGGGAGUACGACCGCAAGGUUGAAACUCAAGGAAUUGACGGGGACCCGCACAAGCGGUGGAGCAUGUGGUUUAAUUCGAAGCACGCGAGACCUUA